GGCCCUGUAGUUCAACGGAUAGAACGGAAGUUUCCUAAACUUUAGAUGGGAGUUCGAUUCUCCCCGGGGUCA
rnacentral:tRNA from 1 species